rnacentral:rRNA from 1 species
AAAACUUUCAACAACGGAUCUCUUGGUUCUCGCAUCGAUGAAGAACGCAGCGAAAUGCGAUAAGUAAUGUGAAUUGCAGAAUUCAGUGAAUCAUCGAAUCUUUGAACGCAUAUUGCGCCUUUUGGUAUUCCACAAGGCAUGCCUGUUUGAGCGUCAUUUCUCUCUAAAACCUUUGGGUUUAGUAUUGAGCUUGUAUGCUUGUAAAAUAGCAUUGGCUCGAAAUGGAUUGGCAGAGCGCCCUCUGGAGCUUUCAACGGACUAGGUCUAACCGUCGUUGGUGCAAUAGAGGGACAAGGCUAGGCCUAAUAACCCCACCCCAUCUUUUGAAGUUUGACCUCAAAUCAGGUAAGACUACCCGCUGAACUUAAGCAUAUCAAUAAGCGGAGGAAAAGAAACCAACAGGGAUUGCCUUAGUAACGGCGAGUGAAGCGGCAAGAGCUCAAAUUUGAAAUCUGGCGUCUUUGGGCGUCCGAAUUGUAAUUUGUAGAGGUAUCUUUGGAAACGGCCCUGGCAUAUGUUCCUUGGAACAGGACGUCAUAGAGGGUGAGAACCCCGUAUGUGGUUGGGUGUCCGUUUCUUUGUAAAGUGCCUUCGACGAGUCGAGUUGUUUGGGAAUGCAGCUCUAAGUGGGUGGUAAAUUCCAUCUAAAGCUAAAUAUUGGCGAGAGACCGAUAGCGAACAAGUACAGUGAUGGAAAGAUGAAAAGAACUUUGAAAAGAGAGUGAAAAAGUACGUGAAAUUGUUGAAAGGGAAGCGUUUAAAACCAGACACGGUUAAAAGAUGAUCAUCGUCCCUCGUGGGCUGUGCUAUCGCUUUUUUCUGGCCAGCAUCAGUUUGAGUGGUGGGAUAAGAGCAUUGGAAUGUAGCUCUUCGGAGUGUUAUAGCCUUUGUUGAUACCGCUACUUGGACUGAGGUUCUUCACUGAACGCUGGCGUAAUGGUUUUAAGCGGCCCGUCUUGAAACACGGACCAAGGAGUCUAACGUCUAUGCGAGUGUUUGGGUGUAAAACCCGUACGCGUAAUGAAAGUGAACGUAGGUGAGAGCCCUCACGGGUGCAUCAUCGACCGAUCCUGAUGUUCUCGGAUGGAUUUGAGUAAGAGCAUAGCUGUUGGGACCCGAAAGAUGGUGAACUAUGCCUGAAUAGGGUGAAGCCAGAGGAAACUCUGGUGGAGGCUCGUAGCGGUUCUGACGUGCAAAUCGAUCGUCAAAUUUGGGUAUAGGGGCGAAAGACUAAUCGAACCAUCUAGUAGCUGGUUCCUGCCGAAGUUUCCCUCAGGAUAGCAGAAGCUCGUGUCAGUUUUAUGAGGUAAAGCGAAUGAUUAGAGGUGUUGGCUGUAAUAGCCUUUUUACCUAUUCUCAAACUUUAAAUAUGUAAGAAGUCCUUGUUACUUAAUUGAACGUGGACCUUCGAAUGAAGAGCUUUUAGUGGGCCAUUUUUGGUAAGCAGAACUGGCGAUGCGGGAUGAACCGAACGUGAGGUUAAGGUGCCGGAAUACACGCUCAUCAGACACCACAAAAGGUGUUAGUUCAUCUAGACAGCCGGACGGUGGCCAUAAAAGUCGGAAACCGCUAAGGAGUGUGUAACAACUCACCGGUCGAAUGAACUAGCCCUGAAAAUGGAUGGCGCUCAAGCGUGUUACCUAUACCUCACCGUCAGGGUUAAUGUGAUGCCCUGACGAGUAGGCAGGCGUGGAGGUCAGUGACGAAGCCUUUGCAGUGAUGCUGGGUAGAACGGCCUCUAGUGCAGAUCUUGGUGGUAGUAGCAAAUAUUCAAAUGAGAACUUUGAAGACUGAAGUGGGGAAAGGUUCCAUGUGAACAGCAGUUGGACAUGGGUUAGUCGAUCCUAAGAGAUGGGGAAGCUCCGUUUCAAAGUGCCCGAUUUUUCGGGCCUCCAUCGAAAGGGAAUCCGGUUAAUAUUCCGGAACCUGGAUGUGGACUCUCCACGGCAACGUAACUGAACGCGGAGACAUCGGCAUGAGUCCCGGGGGGAAUUCUCUUUUCUUCUUAACAGCUUAUCACCCUGAAAUCGGUUUGUCCGGCGCUAGGGUCUUAUGGCUGGAAGAGCCAGGCGCCUCUGCCUGGUCCGGUGCGCUUAUGACGGUCCUUGAAAAUCCGCGGGAAGGAAUAGUUUUCACGCCAGGUCGUACUCAUAACCGCAGCAGGUCUCCAAGGUUAACAGCCUCUAGUUGAUAGAAUAAUGUAGAUAAGGGAAGUCGGCAAAAUAGAUCCGUAACUUCGGGAUAAGGAUUGGCUCUAAGGAUCGGGUGUCUUGGCCCGUAGUUGGAACCUGACGGACUAGGCAGUUCGCUGCCCGGACUGUCAGGGGAAGACUUCGGGAGGCUUCGGCCGUCCGGGGCACGCUUAACGAUCAACUUAGAACUGGUACGGACAAGGGGAAUCUGACUGUCUAAUUAAAACAUAGCAUUGCGAUGGUCAGAAAGUGAUGUUGACGCAAUGUGAUUUCUGCCCAGUGCUCAACUUUGUCCAAUUCAGGGCACAGGACGCCAGUAAUGGAGUCCUAGUCAGCUUUAGCUGGCGACAUCCUCAAAUUGCGGGGACUUCCUUAGAGCUCCAGGUACCGCGGCGGUGCGAAAGCAGCGUGCAGCAGGUGGUGUAACGGCCACUGGAUGGUAACAAGCCUUGGAGAUUGGAUAAUCCGCAGCCAAGUCCUAAGCUCGUAAGAGUAUGGAUGCAGUUCACAGACUAGACGGGGGUGGGUGAUGCGAGUUUGACUAGUAACGAAAAAAUGACAGCUACUGUGGGCAGCUAAGUUACUUUUCAGCAACGGCUUGCAUUUGCUUAAGAUAUAGUCGAAUCAGUCUUCGAAAGGGGACUGCUAGCCUCGCCAAUUGGCGGCGCCCGCAAUAUACAGGGAGGGUCAUGAGGGCAUCUUUCGUAAGCGCCAAAAACAUGGCACAUCUUGCGGCUGAAGUUCUUAUCGAUCAACUCCCAUCUCAGAUGCGAUAGUCGCAAACACGACUUAUUACCACACAAAUGUGAAGCCUGGUAAAACUGCCUAGCCUUUUCAGGAGGGUAGAUGCCGGCAUGAAGCAAGAUGAUAUGGGUAGCCUGUAUUGUUCUUUUGCGUUCAUCAAAUUCACUCAAAGGUAACUUAAGUUUAGUGUGGAUUUUGCGGCUGUGCGUAACUUGCGCAUAUCCAUCUGAGAAGGAGUAACCAAGUGUACUGUAAGGACCUCUUCGGCUCUUACAGGUGCUAUGGUAUCUAGUAUAUUGCGUCGGUCGCGAGAUUUCACACAGAAAAUCACAGGCUAAACUCUCAUCUUCACCGUGGUAUUCUCGACGCAUAUAUCUAUUCAAAACUUCAUAGUGAUAUUGUAUGAUUGAUUUAUGUAGUUUAAAGAUAUUUUGAUUUAGGAGAUUGGUGCCUUGAAAGGUUUUCG